CAAUCUGCAGAUGAUUCAUUACAGACGAUUCCUUCAGCUCUGCACGCUCGCGCAUUGACGGUCAUUAAAGGCAAAUACUGUUUAAUUAAGCUUAUCUGAUGUAGUUAAUUGAAUAUUUAUGAAAGGAUGUGAAAUAUUCUACAGAUGUCAGCUGGUUUAGGCCUGUCAUGAUGUGUCAAUACCACAUUCAUUCAGUGAGUUAUAUAUAUUAUAAGUAUAUUCCGUCAAUCAUUCAUUCAUAACUGCAUUUAGAAAUGAAGCUAAUAACUGUAUUUAUGAACAAUCACAGGCUCAAAUGAUUGAUUCAGCAGCAGAUUCGUUCAUUAAUGAAGACGGACGUUCUGCUCGCACUGUUUUCAGUAAAGAAACAGAAACACCACACUAUAUAUAGGGUCAAGUGUGUUAGAGAAGGGAAGCACACAACUCCCCUGCAGCCAGUCAGCAGGAAUGGGCGUGUCCACUUACAAUAGCAUUGAUUAUGCAAAAAGGGGUGGAGUCUUGAGUUAUGGGCAUGUUUGUUUUGAUGCCUUCAGAUAUCAAGAGCUGUGUGUGUGUGUGUGUGUGUGUGUGUGUGUGUGUUUGUUUUUAUUACAUGGUGGGGACCUCAGCAUGAUAGCACACUCACAAAGUGGGGACCAAAAACAUAGUGGGGACCGAUCGCCCGGUCCCCACUAUGUUUUGCCUUUAAAAGACUCAGGGGGCGUUGCUGAUAUGCCUAGUGCAGUUUUUUUCACUGAUCCCCACCUUGACCAUUUACCUGAAUUGAGUGUGUAAGUGUGUGUCGGCGCACUGCUCUAUAGCGGUCCUGUAGUCGGAUGGCGGUACUGCACCCUGACACACACUUGACGCAGUUCACACACUCUGGCUACUGCACAUGCGCAGAUCUCAUAAAUGAAUCCGACUUUAAUCAACUUAAUUAAGAUCUAUCAUCAAAUUAUUCGAAUUUUUGGUCAGAGGCCGGGGUGGAGUGCAUGAGCCGCGGUCAGACAGUCACCAAUCACCGGGCGGCUAAAUGGAUCGACGGAGGAUAAAACCAUUAAAAGAUGCGGAGAAACACAUCACCAGCUCCACUGACAAGACCCAUUCACUGGAAACCGAAUAUAUAGAAGGUUACUAAGUUUUGCAGCAUUGAUGCCGAUCAUGAGGACGAUCUGCACCCUAACUGCACUGUCAAUAAGAUCGUUGUUCAGAGAAAACCUCAUUUGUCCCGUUUUGCAAUCAGGGAUAUUUUCUUUGGAGAGGAAAUAACGUUUGACUAUGGCGCAUGUGAUUGGCCUUGGAGAAAGCUUUCAUUGAAGGAUGCCCAUAUGACUGCAGAAGAGAACUGCUUCGACAACUCUCUGAUGAGCUUUUAUUGAAG